ACCCAAUAGAUACCCGGGUAGUCCACGCCGUAAACGAUGAGUGCUAGACGUCGGGAAGCUUGCUUUUCGGUGUCGCAGCUAAACGCAUUAAGCACUCCGCCUGGGGAGUACGGCCGCAAGGUUAAAACUCAAAGGAAUUGACGGGGGCCCGGCACAAGCGGUGGAGCAUGUGGUUUAAUUCGAUGCAACGCGAAGAACCUUACCAGCUCUUGACAUAUUGGGUUAUGGAUUCGAGAGAUCGAUUCCUUCAGUUCGGCUGGGCCCGAGUACAGGUGCUGCAUGGCUGUCGUCAGCUCGUGUCGUGAGAUGUUGGGUUAAGUCCCGCAGCGAGCGCAACCCUCAUCUUCAGUUGCCAUCAGGUCAAGCUGGGCACUCUGAAGAAACUGCCGGUGACAAGCCGGAGGAAGGUGGGGAUGACGUCAAGUCCUCAUGGCCCUUACGGGCUGGGCUACACACGUGCUACAAUGGCGGUGACAGUGGGAUGCGAU
rnacentral:rRNA from 1 species